AACGAACGCUGGCGGCAGGCCUAACACAUGCAAGUCGAGCGAGGACUUCGGUCCUAGCGGCGGACGGGUGAGUAACGCGUGGGAACGUGCCCUUUGCUUCGGAAUAGCCCUGGGAAACUGGGAUUAAUACCGGAUGAGCCCUUUGGGGGAAAGAUUUAUCGGCGAAGGAUCGGCCCGCGUUGGAUUAGGUAGUUGGUGGGGUAAUGGACUACCAAGCCGACGAUCCAUAGCUGGUUUGAGAGGAUGAUCAGCCACACUGGGACUGAGACACGGCCCAGACUCCUACGGGAGGGAGCAGUGGGGAAUCUUAGACAAUGGGGGAAACCCUGAUCUAGCCAUGCCGCGUGAGCGAUGAAGGCCUUAGGGUUGUAAAGCUCUUUCAGCUGGGAAGAUAAUGACGGUACCAGCAGAAGAAGCCCCGGCUAACUCCGUG
rnacentral:rRNA from 1 species